GCCAGUCUUCCUAAAUUAAGUGCAGACGCGUUUCGGCAUAACAAGUUCUCCCAAGUCCGUUUUUCUGAUAAAUUGAGUGCGUCUUAAUCCGUCUCCUCCCUCUUGAUUGCUAUUGUUAUUUAAUUUCUAUCAAGUAUAUUUAUGUCUUGAUACUAAAUUCUAAAACCAUUUCUCAUUAUUUACUGGCAGAGAAACAGACACAUUUGAAAAGUUACAGCAACUUUCGUGUGAGGCUGGAUUGCAGAUCUGAGGUCAUUAGCACCAUUUAACAUAGGUGCUUUAUUCCAAAUAGACUGCUCACCCACAACCUUUACUAAGGAACCAGAUUCAUCAGCAGAUAUUGCCCCAUAAUGUGUCAGAUUCCAGGUAGGAUUAAAUAUGGUAAAUGAGAUAGGCAUCUGGAGAUAAAUUACACC